AGAGUUUGAUCCUGGCUCAGGAUGAACGCUAGCGGCAGGCUUAACACAUGCAAGUCGAGGGGCAGCGCGGGAUAGCAAUAUCCUGGCGGCGACCGGCGGAAGGGUGCGUAACGCGUGAGCGACAUGCCCGUUGCCCGGGGACAACCGGUGGAAACGCCGACUAAUCCCCGAUGGGAUACGAUGCUUCAUGGCAUUGUAUUGAAAGUUACGGCGGCGACGGAUUGGCUCGCGUCCGAUUAGCUUGUUGGCGGGGUAACGGCCCACCAAGGCUACGAUCGGUAGGGGUUCUGAGAGGAAGGCCCCCCACAAUGGGACUGAGACACGGCCCAUACUCCUACGGGAGGCAGCAGUGAGGAAUAUUGGUCAAUGGGCGGAAGCCUGAACCAGCCAUGCCGCGUGCGGGAAGGAGGCCCUAUGGGCUGUGAACCGCUUUUGCCUGGGGGCAAUAAGGGCGUCGCGCACGUCCGAUGAGAGUACCAGGCGAAUAAGCAUCGGCUAACUCCGUGCCAGCAGCCGCGGUAAUACGGGGGAUGCGAGCGUUAUCCGGAUUCAUUGGGUUUAAAGGGUGCGUAGGCUGUGCGUCAAGUCGGGGGUGAAAUUCCGGUGCUCAACACCGGGGCUGCCCUUGAUACUGUCGCGCUGGAGUGCGGAUGCCGCCGGAGGAAUGAGUGGUGUAGCGGUGAAAUGCUUAGAUAUCACUCAGAACACCGAUUGCGAAGGCAUCUGGCGAAUCCGUAACUGACGCUGAGGCACGAAAGCGUGGGGAUAGAACAGGAUUAGAUACCCUGGUAUUCCACGCCGUAAACGAUGAUGGCUACCGCCGGCGACCACUGUCGGUGGCCAAGCGAA
rnacentral:rRNA from 1 species